UUAGACUAAGGUCUACUGUGAGUGUUUUGCAUGAGGAAUGCAGCAGCACUUCUGGGAAGAUCCAUUCCACAGGAGAAUUCUAGGGCAAUGGGCACCAGGCCGUUAGUAUCAUCAUCUGUCUGAGAGAGGACAGACCACAGCCAUACAACUAGAAGUUACUGCUGGAAGAAACCAGUUUGUUGUCAUCACUAAAUAUUGUAUUAUGAAUGUUUCUUAAGUUCUGUCCUUACAGGUACAGUUCCUAAAAUCACAUGAAGUCUUCAGCUACUUUUUGUGGGCAAUAGGGAGUACCUGCUAGACUUGACAUAUUCAUGCUCUCCCACUGGAAGAGGUUGCUCCAAGAUAUGCUUGGGAACUAUGUAUGGAACCAUUGCUGGUUCAACACAAGGCCAUCAUGAACUUCACCCUCUUUUUAAGAGAAAAUGAAAACUGAAAUGAAAAAUGAGCUUCACCAUUUUUCUAAGAGCACAAGUGAUCUAUGAUGUUCAUUGACUUCUGAUUCAGUCUGCGAACAGCUGGAAUCCUACAGCCUGAAAAGCCGUCUUUGUUUCCCAGGUUUCCAUUACACAUUUUUGUACCACACUUGCAAGCUAUCCAGGCCUGUGAAGGAGGGACAAUACUUAUUUUUGUGAAAAAUGUUUGCCAUUUUCCAUUCUGCACUCUUCAGACCUCUCCUUGUCCAAUAAAUGGUAAGCUGUUAAAAACAUUCUUAUUUUUCCUUCUGCAACUAUAUUUUUAGUACAGAUACUGGGCCAAAGUUUGGUUUUGCACCAAAUUUAAUCUUGUCACACAGAAUUAAGUUCAGCAGGGUUUCUCUAGAUUUGUAUUGAGGCAUGACACAAAUUUACUUGUUCUUAAUCUCUCCCAUGGAAGCUGUGAAACAAAUAGGGCUUCUAUUAACCACAGUACCUGCUAAUAAUUUUAUUAGUAGCAUCGGUGAAGAGCGGUGUGUUCCUUUUUUUCCUUAUAUAUGUAAACAUAAAGUAUGUUUGGUAAAGAUUUAUAGACCUUACUCUGAAAUCUUUUCUUGAGCACAAUUCUCAUUCUGAUAUCUGAACUUCACAGAUGUUCCUCUAAUUUGGUAAGAUUAAACAUAUCAAAAACUGGUCUUUAUCAGCAUGCUGGGCAUGUUGUUAGUGUAUGAAUGGUUCUGUAAUUAAAAUGGUACAAGAUAACGUUUACUUUUGAGUAUUUGUCAGUAUUCUGAUCCUAAAUCAUUGGACUAAUAACAGUGUUUGGUCAAAGAUUGCCUUAUUUUGCCCAAGGUAACAGAAUUUCUUUCAACAGGUAGUACUUGGUUAGGGAAUCAUCAAGUAUAGAUAGAAAUGUCUAUAAAAUUGAGUGAUCCUCAAUUCCUAGAGUUAUAUAACAAUAUUUUCAAAUUUGGUACUAAUAUCGAAAGAUUGAGUUACAAUAUGUAGAUAUUCUUUGUCCUUGCAAUUGCACAUGCAUAGAAAAAAAGAGGGACCGUAGAAGGUUACUUAGUCUACCCUUUACCAAGAGCAGGAUGACAUACACUGUACCGGACUAUACUCUACUAUGCUAUGCUAUGCUAUGCUAUGCUAUGCUAUGCUAUGCUAUGCUAUGCCAUGCCAUGCUAUGCCAUGCUAUGCUAUGCUAUGCUAUGCUAUGCUAUGCCAUGCCAUGCUAUGCUAUGCUAUGCUAUGCUAUACUGUAUUAUACUAUGCUAUACUAUACUGUACUGUACUGUACUAUACUGUACUAUUUAGUGAUUCCUGACAGAAAAAAAUCCAACUUGAUAUUAAAAAUAUUCACUAAAAACUCUGUUGCUUUCCCAUGCCGUGUUUUCCAGGCUGAAAUAACUUGACACUUUGAAAAGUUUUCCUUUGCCUUCUCUGAAUCGUCAUCUUUUUUUCCUGUCACAGUGCACUAUGGAGAACAGCUUAUAUACCUCCUCUUUUCAACAACUUCUCACUUUUUGGAUAUUGUGCCUUCAAACCAGUUUUGAAUAAACAGACAAAAAGAUUGUUAUAAUCAAGGCAUUUUGACUGAAAUGCAGAGCAACCUGGAUUGAAAGAACUGCCUUUUGGCAGAAAGGGAGUUCGAAAGUAGUCAUACAAUUAGGGAUAUUGAUUAACUAAGGUAUGUAAUAUUUUUUUAAAUGACACCACCAGAAGGGAAAUGAGAAUAGCAUACACUAAUGGCCAAACUAGUUAAAAGACAACUUUUCUAGAUCUUCAAUCUAUUUCCACUGAGGCGUCCAGGUUAAAGACAAGGUCCUGAGUUUUUUUAUAAAUGUGAAACUAAUUUUUUUCAGUUUCAACUAAAUCCUCACCUUUCAAUGUAUGUACGCAAUCCCUUAAUAGAAGUGAUUGCUCAGGGAAUAAGUUUAAGCACAGAUUUUACAAGCAAAGCUGCUUCAUUACUGAUUGCUCAGGGAAUAAGUUUAAGCACAGAUUUUAAAAGCAAAGCUGCUUCAUUACUAUUAAGUGGCUAUGUCAUAUUAACAUCACAUUUGUCCUGCCCUUUCAGGUGUCUGAGAUGCCUCAUUUCAAAGUGACCUUUUCAAAAAUGUCUCUGUGUUAUCUUUUCCUAUGAAACAUUCUCUCUGAGUGUUUGCAUCGAUUUAAUUUCCUAAAAACUUCUCCUCUUAUUUCUAGGUGUUCUGUCCCCUCUGUUGCUUUACAUGGACAGUAUUUUUCUUGGUCAUAAAAAGAAAUGUGACAUCUCUGGAUUUUAUUUCAUUGCAGCCAAGACAAAAAGAGCACAGGAGCUCAAAUAAAUUAUAAUUCUGAAUAAUACUAGUUAUAAAGGAAUGCUAAAGCUUCUUGGUGACCACAUUUGUGAGCCAGAGCCAGAGAAGCAGAAACUAAUGUCUAGUAAAAGAUGUUAGAUUCUUGCUGCCAAUGUCUGGCGAGAAAAAUCUGCUCAAUAGAUGGUUUACCUCAAAUGACCCAGUUGGCACUUGGAGCAAGGAUGCCGAGUCAUUAGAAAGACAGUGCAGGUAAUUUAUCAGGAAAGCAUGUAGUACUUCCCAUACAUUCCAUUUCUUGCAUACUAUUGUUCUCAGGAUUUUAACACUAGGCAUUUAUCCAUAACAGUACUGUCAGGGGGUUAUAGGAACCUCAGUCUGCUUAAAAUAGUGAAAUAUUUGGGAUUUGAAUCAUUGCUGGCAGUGGAUUCUGGCCCAGUGAAUUCAAGAGAGCUUCUGCUCUUCUUCACUGACACUAUAUCUCUUUGACUUCAUUUUCAUAAGGGAAUAAAAUUGUGAAGUCCCUGUAUCUCUGUGAAAAAGGUCAACUUUUUUUUUUUCCCUUUGGCUUUCCCACUUCCAAAUAAGACACCUUUUUCCUGGUUUUCUCUCUUCUGAAAGUGAUUGAAUUCCACAGACUCUAGAGGGGAGUUCUUUAUGUCUCCCCAAAGUCACAGGUACCAGAGCAAGAAAGUGGUUUAAUUUGCUGCUCCAGUUGAGGCAUGUGAGUGUAACAAUAUUCCUUCAGCUAAAAAGGCCAGGGAAGGAUGCUAGCCCAGAUUUUGCAAUAACAAACAAGGCUGAUCAUUCUUGUGGUAGCCAGCCAAUGCACAAGUGACACUUGCAUUUUAGUGGAUGCCUCCAAAGAUGAUGUACUCACUGCCUGGUAAUUGUGCCUGCUACUUCCAGAGGCAAUGCUGAAUAUUGCCACCAAAGGACCAGACAGCAGGACUUACCUGCAGCUGGCUGCUUCUGGCCAUGGAGAAGAUCAAGAGAAGAGAGAGCUAGAAUACAGUUUCUUGCUCUGCCACUGUUGCCAUAGAAAACAUUUGGAUAGAAAUGGCAGUUUAGACAUACAUAAGCCUCAAAGCACAGCAUAAGCUGCAAGUGUGUGUCUUUCACUGACCAACACAGGCACACCAAGCAGUAGGUCCAUGGCUGCACUGUCAUCUCCCAACUCUUAACUGACCUAGGCAAUGGCCUAUGUAGCCUGUACCACAGCCAGCUCCUAAACUGAGCAAUCAAAGCCAUAUAUUGAGUUGUAUGGUGUUAUUUUAAGAGUCAGAACACAGGAUUUCUGUCAAAUACACAAAACAGAAAUUGCCACAUUUCAGCUCUUGUUCCAGAAAAUUAGGAGAUUGUAUGUUAGAUCUUGGUGGCCUAUUGGAGCUGUUAUUGCUCCACCCAGAAGAAGCCUUGAGUAGGUCCCCACAUGUACUGACUGUGACAGAAUGGCAUGAGAGCAAAUAUGGCCAGCAAGUUCAUCUGACUAGUGGCUAAUUGGUAGUAACAGGAGCUUGUAUCCCAGAACUGUGACACCAGCACCAAAGCGAUAUCUCUGAGAGUAUGCCUGAGAUGGUCUGAUAAAUUAGAGGUGGUAUUUUUUAAAUGUCAUUUCCCUCAGGCUGUAUAGAAACCAUUCCCUGCACAAUAAGCUCAGCACGUACACUGUCACAGCUUGGCAAACACAUGCUCCCAAAAAACAUCAGAAAACAAGCUAAGUUACAUCUUCACUACUCCAUCAGGCACUCCAUUACCUUGAUUCUAGUGUGGCCAAUCAGAUGCAAUUGGCUGUUUUUGUAAAGCCGAUACUAGAAUAUUUGUCUUGCCUUCCUUGACAAAAGAAGGAAAAUAAAGUGCAAGAAAAAUUCUUGGACCCUUGGUAAAGGAACAAGAGAAGCAGGUCGAAAUUUAUGCCUGCUUACCAUAGAAAGCCCAAAUAAUGUGAAUACCACCUGAAUUCCUUGAAUAGCAUUUAAUUAACAUUCCAAGACAGCUCUACAAAAUCAAGAGAUCAAAGUGAAGCAAGAAAAGCAUGCCCAAAAUGAAGCAGAACUCAAGUUUGACCAGUAAACACUGACUGGCAAAAUGUUAAUCAAGACCAAGUUGCUCAGUGCUUGCAUUGGGUAGCAGGUAACACUCAGGAGAUCAUUUCUCUACAAACCCCAAAAUGUGCACUGCUUUGGUAUCAGCAGCUUCUGUGGUGAUCAGGGAGGCUGGGCCAGUUCGCAUUAGGGCUGUCCAGCAUGUUUAGUCCAGCUGCCUGGAGACAAGCCAUUUGGAAAAAAAAAAAGAAGUUUUCAGUGCUGCUUGCAGUGUUCACGCCUGACAACAUUUCUGUCUGACUAUGCAACUCCCAGAUAGCAAAGACACAAUAUUCAGUUUAUAAACUCUGAUGAAUAAGCUGUCUCCUGGGGUUUGACAGGACUUACUAACUGCCUGAGAUCUGCUGUAUCUUCCUCUUCUUGGCCCAAACUCUCUGAUAUGGGAUGCCUGAAAGUUACACAACUAAAAGCCAUCUUUAACCACUUAAAAGUGCAGACUUGUUUUGGAGACUGAACACUGCAAUUGCAGCGGGAGCAUAUGGGAACAGUUGCUGUGAAAAUCAGGCCAUUCUUACAAAGGAGCACACAAGUCUGCGAAAAAAAGGCCAAUAAACUGAACAGUAUCACUGGUGAAUGACCCACCAGUGGCAUUCAGUCAAAAGAUUGGAGAUAGCCAUUUGGAUUUCAUUCAUUAAGGUUUGCAUGCAACUAUUUUUCCUGUCUGCUGUUUAAGGAACUUUAUGGAACAACAGUGAGAACUUUUUUUUUUCAGUUUGAGUUCUGUGCUUUGAGUGCAUUUUUUCUGAAGCAUGUGUUUGGCUAAUAGUUGCAGUUUCAUCUUAGCAGCCUCUUUGAUGACACGCGUUUUUGAAACAGAGGCUUGUGCUGAUUAAAUGAUGUUCCAGGGUUAAGUGGGCCCUCCAAGACAUAGCUAUGACUGCCUGUUGCUGGGGUCACUAAACUACUUCAGUGGUUUCGUUUUUGCUCCCUGAAUGACAAUCCUUCUGAUGUUUUUAGCCUUCAGCCACAUUCUUCUGCUUCCUAAGAGACUUUUCCUGACUUUACCAUGCAUGCAGAGGACAAGUGUUCUAACGAUGCAUUCCUGACUAGUUUUCUUUUUUUCAGAGGCAUUAUAAUUAACCAUAUCCAGGGGUUACAUGUUGGUCUACCUACCAACACACAGCAGCAAGUGAAUAUUGUUAGCCAAAUUUUUAGAAACCAGAGCAAUCUCCUAGUUUUCAGCCAUCUCUCAUGAAGAGAUGCAAAUGUCUCCAUUCAGCAUUUCAGAAUGCUUGCAAGAGAAGAGCAGUCCAGCUGCCUACUCGAAGUCUCCAAGGACUGGUGUUCAACUCACAGUUUAUCAAGGCCAUAUUCUUAUGUUUCUUGCUUUGUCAUUUGCUCUCUCAGUACUUCAGAUCCCUCUCUGUAUAAUGAAAAUACUACAGCCUCCCUCAUCUUACAGUCUAUUGGUUUAAGGAGUAACUUAGCAAGGACUGGGAGUCACUCUAAUAAUAUUGUUGGAAGUACCAUAAUUUUAUUCCUGUGUACAAACCUGUCUGUCUAUGCUUAUGUACCUCCCACUUUUAAGCAAGCUUGCUCCUAAGGAGUCAAAAGUGUCAUUCAGAACCAGAGGUUGUCUCUCUUCAAAGCUUGAAAGAAACCUCACUACUUGCCCUCCAGGUAUUUGUCUAUUGCUCUUCAAGUUCACCUUUCCGGUUGUGUUGGAUGAGAAUAAGAGCAGCUCCAUGUAAGUCUGAAGUCCUUGUCAUUGUCCCCUUUGUCACAGUGUGCAAGUACUUCAUAGUCCCUAGAAUAGCUACCCUUACUUCACUGCUGUAAAGUGAGCGACAGCUAGUACCCCUUUCACAGGUAACACUCCCUACCUUUUAUGAGGUGCUUUUUGGCAGCAGCUCUAGAGGAGCUCUUAAAGACAGUUUCCCUGUUUUUCAACAGAAACAAAGAAAAGAGUAUAGAUCAAGUGCAUAAUACCCUUUUUUUAUUUAGCUCUGAACUGAGAUUUAAAUAGAGUUUAGGUGCCAAGUCCAGGCAUGGAAUCGGACUUUGUUAAGAGCUCCCAUCCUCUAGCUUUGCCAAAAAAAGGUCUUCCAGGCACUAAACCUGUGUUUCUGGAUAUCUUCAGGGCAGUUUCUGAUUUGGCAAGGUUCAUCCACCCCUAGAUAUGCUGUUCAAGAGUUUAAUCUGAUGUCUCUGGUAAUUCCUACCCCAGCCUUCUGCUAUACUCUAGUUCAGGUGUUAUUUGUAAACCGGUCUUGGUAGAAUUUAUGUACUGCAGGUCAAGCCAAUUUGUAGUGUUAAUAAUACUACUGUAAGCACAUUAGCAGAUCUCCAGGGUUUACUCCUGAGCAGAUCAUCUAGUUUACCUGAAAUUCUUAAAAAACAUGUAUUUCUUCUACUUAUAGUUGAUGUCCAGACAUCAUUUUGGCUAAAGCAAAACAUCUGCAUCUCCUGAAGAUGUUUCCAAUAUCUUCUCAUCAGACAGGCAUUACUUCCUGCAGGGUAAAACCACUACUGAUUAUUUUGUCCUUAUGCAAGGGAACAAGUACUUACUGGGAACCAGAAACCACACCGUCUGCUUCAGAGAAGACAUAGGUAGAAUACAUCCAGAAAAGAAUGAGCAAACAGUUGUAGAAAUGGCAGGUUUUGAGAUCUAGGAGGCAUGGGACUUUGCCUCAGUGCUUCAGGAGUUGGAAAUGAGGGGUCAGAAAAUAAAUGGAGGCAUUGUAUUCCACUUUCCUAUAACAAGCAAUAAAUAAAUAUCUGAUACUCAGGUUACACUAUAUUUGUUAACUAUGAUGAUCCAUAAAUUACAGCUAUAAGUUUAAGACUCUGGCAGUUUGAAAUUAAUUCCAUUUAUUUAAAGAAUGAGUGGAAAAUAUUCUUAGUCCCAGCACCUGCUGUUGAAUUCCUCUGCUUUUCUGUGGUUUUACUAUUACAUUUUCCAAUUUUAAAAGAAGUGAAGCUGACUAGACACAAGACAUCGUCAAAUGUCCAAGGUAAAUAAACUGGGAAAAUAUUAAGAAAAUUAUAUAUAAUUUUCUGUAAUAGCAAAGGGAAUAUUGAGUGAACAAUAUUAAAUUAAGAAAGGAUUCUGACAAGAAAGGUAGAAGGUUGAAUGGUGUCCCUUUAAAACAAAUGUCCAAGCUGUCCACUGAAUCCUAAUGAGUGAAAUCUUUCUGUUGUUGCUUCUUAAUUUAUGUAGUAGAUUAACUAUACAUUUUUAAUGUGAAUCAGAUCUCUAGGUUCUGUACUUAUACUGCAAAAAUCACCUUUAUUUGCCCCAUAUGAGAGCUUGGUGCCAAGACCACCCAGUGACAUGGCUUUACUUUGAAGGAUGGAGGAAACUGUGUAGUCUUAAAUUCCCAUGCAAAUGCUGAUUCUCAAAUUCCUAACUUACAGAAUAGGAAGAUGGAAACUCAUAGUACAUUAUAACAAAAACACCCUCUGCACCAAGAAGAGAAAAAGUUCCCUUCUGGGGAGCUCUUAUCUUAAAGGCAGUUAUCACACAUCCACUACUUCCAGCCCAGGGCAUUGUGUAGGUGCUUCAGAAGCUGCAUCAUUGAAUCCAUUCUGCUGUUCUGGAAGGGAAAGACCUAAAAUGGGAAAGAAGGCCAGUACCAUGUUAAACUACUUAAGAGGUCAAACAAAAUCUGACCACAGCCAGCAAUGUUUGAAUUUUUCCUUUGGCUCAGAGUACAAACUGUAAAUCAUCCAGCAAAUGUGUACUCUACAAGGGGUCAGAGGAAAAAACAUCUGCCCAUACUGGGCAGCCACUUCAGUCCUCUCUUGUUGCCAAGUUCCUAAGAAGUGCCCAGAAGCACCUCGUUUGAUGUGCCAGGUUUCCUGCCUCUUCCUGGGCUGGUGGGUUCAUGUCCACUCCAGACCCUUGUGCAUUAAACCUGACAUGGAAAAUGCAUAAAGAAGGGGAAGAGCAUUCAUGAAGCAUUUCCUCAUCUUUCUCCUGACAAGGCUGCAGAUCUUAGUCCCAUCUUGAAGGGGGUUGUGGAAACCUUGAGAGGGAGAGAGAGCUCCUCACUCUUGCUGGUUUGCAUCCAGCCCACAGGCUUAAAAAUCAAGUAUGUCGCAGGCUUACCCUGAUGACAAUUUGUUGAUUUGCAAGAAAGGAGACAAGACUUUCACUUCAGUGGACAGCAUAAAAACAGCCCACUCCCUCUGUAUUCAGUCUCAGUAGAAACACCAGCAAAGCAGGAGGUGGUGAAAUCACCCUGAAAAACAAGGUGGGAUAAGAAAAGUGCAUGGCAUAGGGAGGGGUGGUUGCAUUAAUGUUACCUGACCUAUGUUUUGCCUGUGAAUAUACAUUAAAAUAGACACAUAAAUUUGUGUCUGUGUAUUUGUCAGUCUCCAAAGCUACUAAAAGUACAGCAUUUGUCAGUAACAAGGACAGACUUAACAAAAGCAGCUGGUCUGAGACAUGCUGAAAAGUCAUUUCAUAGAUGUGAGGAAAACUUUUUUUAACUUUCCUGUUACCUGUAGCUACUGCAUCUGGGGCUGAUUUCUGACAGGGUAAAGCAAACAAAUAUAAGGAAAACUCCAUGGUGCACUAAACAUGCAGAAGUUUACAGCUACCUGCACUCAAGACAUUUUUACUGUUUCUAUGUGGUCUGAGAUGGCAGUAAGCUGCAAAGAGAAGGAAAUUAUUUCUCAUUUUUCUCUGAAUAUGCUAUCUACCAACCUGACUUUACUGAGAAGAAUGUAGACUGGAGCCAGCUUGAGCGUUCGGCUAAUAUACCAGCUUCCUGCCUUCACCUUGUGCUUUUUUUUUCUUUCCUCUAGGCUUAGAGAAACUCAUCAUUCCGCUUAAAAAUGAAGAAGUCGUGACACCUAGCGGUGAAUUAAACACUGAUUUCUUCUAUUUCCUACAGAAUCCACACUUGUUUUCCACGGGCACAUUGUUCUCAGUCAGAUUGUAAUGUGAGAGGUGAGGGCAUCACCCUCAUGACUUUAGACAUCCAGGCAGCCCCUCGUUUCUUCUGCAGUCCUACGCCAUGUGUGUGUGUGGUGUUGCAUCAGGCUCCUGUGCCCCUGCACAGAAAGCUCCAUUCAUUAUGGCCCAGUGAGCAGCCCCUGGUCAUGCUCCUUAUUGAACAUGACAUUUUGAAUAGUCAUUUAUACUGAGAUAAGGUUAAGUGCUUUGACUUAGGAGCGAAAGGGAGUAUGGCAGAAUCCUGGUGUUUAAGACCAAGCAGGAAUUUCAGACUUUUUUCAUAUCGAGUACUUAUUCAUCAAGGCUGGUUUUGGAAGGUGACUCAAAAAUGCAUUGUAUGGCAUGCAGCAAAUUGCUGGCAGGCAGUUUAAACUGACUCAAUUGCUGGCAAGUUCUUUCGCUUUUGAAGACUACUCAGAGUCUGCCUUGGUCAGCAGCAGUCAAAAAGUACGUACUGGCUGCAAUGCCAUGACAAGAAGUUGUGCUGAAAAGCAGUAAACCAGUCUAGACAUGUGCAAAAAAAAAAGUUCUUUCCAAACAGUGGCAAGCCUUGGAGAUGUUUUGGUUUGAUGGGUUUUUUGUUUGGUUUGGUUUGUUUUUUAGGGAAGCAGAACAGUGUUGAGUUGUGCUAGUGGUAACUAGGCUGCAGUCACCAAGCGGCAAGCUUUCUUGGCUUGUUGAUCCAGCUGGGACAUGCCAUUUUUUAUCACAAGAAUGAGCUUCAGUGCAAGAAAUUUCAAGUCAAAACAUCACUGUAUGUUGUUUGGGAAUCUGGGUGCGUGCUUCUUUGUGUCUGUAAGAGCUGUUAGCAGUGCAGCCUCCCAGUUUCAUGUCCAUAUUUGUGCAUGGUAUAUUAAGCAUACUUUCCAUUGCCUUCAAUGAGACAAACUCCUUCCUCCACCUCUGUCUUUCAGAAGAGAUACAUAAUAAAAUUGCAUGUUGUAACCAAGAAAUGGAGACUAGAUUACUUGAAUAGACAUGAUUUUCUUAAUCUAAAUAUUUAUUUUACAUGUAUUAGUACCUGUAACUUCCCCAGUUUGCUUUCUUGGGUAUAAUUAACACUUCUACCACCAGAGCGUCUGGAUGUAAGGCAAGUGAACAUAAAAAUAUCAUUUCUGUCCAAAAUGUUCCAAUUUCCAUCCCUUGAAUCAUCACCAUGUGACCUAUUCUGUGCCAAUAUUAAUAACCAUUGCUCAUGGCUUUCAAACAACCCAAACUAUUUAAAAAUUAAUUCUGUUUACAGUACCUUCUAGAGGAAGUAUUUUGUAAGAGUGAAUAACUCAAGCUGACUAGUGGCUACCCACAAAAUAUGACUAUCCAGUAACAAAAUGAAUCAUGUAGAACGAGUUGGCAAGGAAUGGACAUAUUGUUGGAGAAGACAUAAAGUGGGGAUCAGAUACAGCAACUGAGAGUCCUAGGUUCACUUUCCACUGCACCAUACAUUUCCCAUACCGCUCUGACAUAGGCAGGCCUAACCGCAGUGGCAUAGGCAGCAACUAGCCCCAGUCAUGCCAAAUCACACAGUAGACUUUUUGACACUGGGCUGUAAGCUGUGGGCCUUAAGUGUCCUGCUCAGCUGUUACUCCUAGAAACACUUUGAGUCACGAGUUGGAGCCCAUAGGUGUGCUAGUUUAUGCUUUGUCUUUGUUCUUCCCCCUGUAAAAUGGAGAUGGCCACCCACUGAUGCAUGACAAAUUUGUCUGAAGUCCCUGGAAUGGGCCAAGGUAUUAGUAUUACUUCAGCUAGUAUUACUUCGACUAGUAUUACUUCAGUCUUCACUGGCAGGGAUGCCACUGCCAUUGCUGAAGAGAAACAAUACAAAAUGGAAAAGCAAUACUAAUUCUGGCAGCCCUAUAGCCUGAAAUAUGUAAUGUACUCCUGGACAGAACAAGUGCAACAUCUGGCAGAGCAGAAAGUUAGGUUAUACUAAAUCCUUGGGUGCCGCUUAUUCCAUUUGGUAUUUGCCGCUGUUGCUACAGACUCUAAGCAGCCCCAAAACAGCCACAAAUGGAAGUAAAUCUUUCUUCUAGCCUCUCUCUAGGAGAAAUAGCUUGACAGGUUUAUAAGGGAAGGGAAGUUGCAUACUACUUAGCAUAGCUCUGCUAGCCUGUGAGGCAAAGGCUUUGAAGUGCCAAAGAGAUGAUGUGACUUUGGAUUGUAGGUCCAGCAACAAUGUUUGAUCAUUCUCAUGCCAGGCAGGACUGUCUGCUACAGCCUGUGUUACAUGGCUACACCAGAACCUCUGCUUUCUCUUGCUCUUGCAUUUUCGUGAUUCCCCUACUGACAAGAUAGGACACAGCAAGAGCUGUGAGGUAUAAAGUAGCUGUCAAAGACGGCAGUGAGCAGUAAAUAUCUAGGCAAUAUUCACUCACAUAGAACUCUGAAUAUGCAGCUACGAUGUGCUUUUUAGGCUAGUCUCUGUAGUGAGUACAGAGGUGAAUCCCCAGCGCAUCAGACUCACUUGCAUGGCUAAGCCUGCAACCACAGAAUUGCACAAUGGUUAGGGUGAGAAGGGACCUCUGAAAAUCGUCUUGUCCAAACCCCCUGUUGAAAGCAGGCUCAACUAGAACAGAUUGCUCAGGACCGUACUCAGCUGGGUUCGAAUAUCUCCCAGAACAGAGACUCACAACCUCUCUUGGCAACU